rnacentral:rRNA from 1 species
UACGUAGGGUGCAAGCGUUGUCCGGAAUUAUUGGGCGUAAAGAGCUCGUAGGCGGUUUGUCGCGUCUGCUGUGAAAACUCAGGGCUUAACCCUGAGCUUGCAGUGGGUACGGGCAGACUAGAGUGCGGUAGGGGAGACUGGAAUUCCUGGUGUAGCGGUGAAAUGCGCAGAUAUCAGGAGGAACACCGGUGGCGAAGGCGGCGAUCUGGGUCGAUACUGACGCUGAGGUGCGAAAGCGUGGGGAGCAAACAGG